CCCGUAUUUCCCGGGAUUUCUGUAGUUCCCGAGAAGCUCUCUUUAAAUACAGAAUUGACCAUUUAUUUUCAAAUAAAAACAUCGCACAAUUUACUUUUCAUAUCAUAUCAAACAAUGUCCUCACUAGAGAUGCGACGUGUUUGUGAAUUAAAAUUUUGGGUAAAAUCAACCGAAAAAAGGGAACAAAUCGGGAUGCAUUUCACUGACAUUUUGUAGGUGAUUUUUGCAUGGCUUAUUUCACAGCCUACUACUUGGCAGUACAAGUUUGCAAUACAAUAUAAAGAAACUUUUGAGGAAUCUAUUUCAUGAUUUGAGUAGGGUUAUAAAGCUUUCAAAGUUUCUAUUUGUUUGUUUUGUAUUAUAGUGUUGAAAAAAUGUAUUAAAUGUUUGCAAAUGUUAUAACUUCAUACGAUUGGGUAAAAAUGACCUCCACAUAUAAUUUUACUUAAUUUUAUUAUUUUUUGGUUAUAAAGCCUAGCAAAAAACAAAGCCAACAUUCUUUAGGAGAAACAUAGAGUAUUGGACAAAACAUUUGCAACUUUUCCGAUUUUCCAUACAAAAUGGUCAACUUUGGUAAGCUAGAUCUCAGUUAUUCAAGGACCGAUUUAUAUCAAAUUUUCACAAGACAUUAGGCAUAACUUAUAUUACGAAAUAUAUAAGUUAAGAUCGAACCCUUACCGAUCCUCAACAAUCAUCCAUACACCAAUCGCUUUAUUGGUGUAUCAUCAUUUUCAUCAUUCCCGGCAACAACAACAACAACGACGACGUCCACCACACCGACGACGAUAGCCCAGCUAGUAGAACGGAAACAGUAGUCUAGCAUCAGCAUUUCAUCACCCGACAACAUAGGUAGCAUUUACGUGAACAACCACCGAACGAGACCACUAAACGAAGCCACAGCCCUUUGGACCCGCGGCAUCAGCAGUUCUUCCACAGCAACAGCAUAAGCAUUGCAAUAGGUAGUGAGGUUUGAUCGUAAUUAAUAAUUGAAUAAAGGUUCAGUUCGUUUUAGGCAGUAGAUCGAAUAAGUUCUUUUUUUAAAGCUUAGUCUGGGUGACACCCUUCUUCACUGGCGCAGUCGGCAGUUCUAGCGUGGAGUAGUUAAAGUGUAGUGAAAAGUGUUCUUAUCCGAAAUCAUCGGCGGCUUACCGAAGAGCAAAGGAGGAAACACCUAAACUACAGAUUCUAGUGCACCGGCGGUUUACCGAGACACCAAAAUCAUCUUUAACGAAGCUUCACACCUGCUAGAAGACAUCGAACCAUCCGAGGGAAUAUCGGACAUCGAACCAUCCGAGGGAAUAUCGGACAAUUUAACCAUCCGAGGGAACAUCGGAUAAAACCCAUCCAUACAGCUACCAACAUGAAACCACGUGAAAUUUUAUAUGCAGCCAAAAAUGGACAGGAGAGACCGAUAGAAAUGGAACGCCUUGUUGAACUUCGUGACAAGUUGAAGCGAGAGGAUCCGCCAAAACUAAAACAAAACGAAUUGGCAUACAACCGCAUCCAAGGAGUGAAGUCGAAAAUUAAGGACCGCUACCAACAAGUGCGAG